GAUCAUAACAUGUUGAGAAUUCAUAGUAAUCAUAAUGGUAAGGGGGCGACUGAAGGUUCCAGUGGCGAGGAAAGUCCUGAGCCCCAUGAGGCUGGUUUCGGUCAAGGUAGCCGCGGUCAAAGAAGACGCUUGGAAGAUCGG